AAAAGUUGACACUGACCAGAUCCCGUCUAUGGAGAGCCUGUUCACUCCCUAUUUAGCCCCAUUGUACCGAAUUUGGUUGCAGUUCCAGCAGAGUUCUACUGGGGGUGAUCGCAGGCGAGUGCAAAAUGAAUGGGACCCUAUGGUGAUUGAUGGCUUAAUGAAUG